rnacentral:rRNA from 1 species
UACGUAGGGGGCGAGCGUUGUCCGGAUUCAUUGGGCGUAAAGCGCGCGCAGGCGGCCUCGCGCGCCCGACGUGAAAGCCCCCGGCUUAACCGGGGAGGGUCGUUGGGGACGGCGGGGCUUGAGGGCGGGAGAGGUCGGUGGAAUUCCCGGUGUAGUGGUGAAAUGCGUAGAGAUCGGGAAGAACAUCAGUGGCGAAGGCGGUCUGCUGGGCCGUUGCUGACGCUGGGGCGCGACAGCGUGGGGAGCAAACAGG